GUCUCUGUUUGCCACGUAGCAUCAUCACCACAAGAAUCGUACAAAUACAAAUUGUCUCCAAAUAAGAUAUCUCUAACAAUAAGAUCAAUAAAAGCUUCCUUCGAUCCAUAUCUAUCCAAACAAAAAAAAAACAAAAAACAAAUUAACUAAAUCAUUAACCCGAGGCAACAAAUAUACAUAUGGCGUUGAAAAAAAAGAAGUUAUCAUUAACCCGAGGCAACAAAUAUACAGGUGGCGUUGAAAAAAAAAAAGUUUCAUUAACCCGAGGCAACAAAUAUACAGGUGGCGUUGAAAAAAACAAAUAUACAGGUGGCGUUGAAAAAAAAAAGUUUCAUUAACCCGAGGCAACAAAUAUACAGGUGGCGUUGAAAAAAAAAAGUUUCAUUAACCCGAGGCAACAAAUAUACAGGUGGCGUUGAAAAAAAAAAAUUUCAUUAACCCGAGGCAACAAAUAUACAGGUGGCGUUGAAAAAAAAAAAUUUCAUUAACCCGAGGCAUCAUAUUCAAAAUGUUCUACUCUUAUACAUCUAUAAACAUGUGUCUAAAAACACUAGUAUGAGGAUUGCUAUCAUUGCUAGGCAUUGCAUGUGAAAAGGGAAAUUAAAGGACACCUGU
rnacentral:lncRNA from 1 species